AGCAGCCGCGGUAAUUCCAGCUCCAAUAGCGUAUAUUAAAGUUGUUGCAGUUAAAAAGCUCGUAGUUGAAUUUCGAGACCGGUUUACUGGUCGUGCUUUUGUACGUACUGGUAUUAUUGGUUUCUCCUUUCUGACGAACUAUAAUGCCAUUAAUUUGGUGUUAUAGGGAAUCAGGACUGUUACUUUGAAAAAAUUAGAGUGUUUAAAGCAGGCUCACGCUUGAAUACAUUAGCAUGGAAUAACGGAAUAGGACGUUUGAUUCUAUUUUGUUGGUUUCUAGGAUCGACGUAAUGAUUAAUAGGGAUAGUUGGGGGCAUUAGUAUUCAAUUGUCAGAGGUGAAAUUCUUGGAUUUAUUGAAGACUAACUACUGCGAAAGCAUUUGCCAAGGAUGUUUUCAUUAAUCAAGAACGAAAGUUAGGGGAUCGAAGACGAUCAGAUACCGUCGUAGUCUUAACCAUAAACUAUGCCGACUAGGGAUCGGAUGAUGUUAAUUUUUAAUGACUCAUUCGGCGCCUUACG
rnacentral:rRNA from 1 species